CAACUACUCCCUUUGUCCCAAAUUUCUUUUCUUAGAUUUGUCUAGAUACGGAUGUAUCUAAUACUAAAAUGUGACUUGAUACAUCCGUAUCUAGACAAAUCUAAGACAAGAAUUUUGGGACGGAGGGAGUACUUU
rnacentral:pre_miRNA from 1 species